UUCUGUUAGGUGAGGCUCCUAUAUGGAAAAUGCUGCUGCCCUGCACAUAUCGAGAGACAUGUGUAGCAAAAAUGUUUAACAUCUUAUAAUGAGAUGGAAUGGGUCAACAGAAAUGGUCGAAUUAAGGUCAUUUUUAAUGUAGCUGAUGAAUAAUCUACGCCAUAUAGUGCUAAAGCUCAAUGAUGGAGA
rnacentral:sRNA from 1 species